rnacentral:rRNA from 1 species
UGGCGACGGGUGAGUAACACGUGAGUAACCUGCCCUUAACUCUGGGAUAAGCCUGGGAAACUGGGUCUAAUACCGGAUAUGACUCCUCAUCGCAUGGUGGGGGGUGGAAAGCUUUAUUGUGGUUUUGGAUGGACUCGCGGCCUAUCAGCUUGUUGGUGAGGUAAUGGCUCACCAAGGCGACGACGGGUAGCCGGCCUGAGAGGGUGACCGGCCACACUGGGACUGAGACACGGCCCAGACUCCUACGGGAGGCAGCAGUGGGGAAUAUUGCACAAUGGGCGAAAGCCUGAUGCAGCGACGCCGCGUGAGGGAUGACGGCCUUCGGGUUGUAAACCUCUUUCAGUAGGGAAGAAGCGAAAGUGACGGUACCUGCAGAAGAAGCGCCGGCUAACUACGUGCCAGCAGCCGCGGUAAUACGUAGGGCGCAAGCGUUAUCCGGAAUUAUUGGGCGUAAAGAGCUCGUAGGCGGUUUGUCGCGUCUGCCGUGAAAGUCCGGGGCUCAACUCCGGAUCUGCGGUGGGUACGGGCAGACUAGAGUGAUGUAGGGGAGACUGGAAUUCCUGGUGUAGCGGUGAAAUGCGCAGAUAUCAGGAGGAACACCGAUGGCGAAGGCAGGUCUCUGGGCAUUAACUGACGCUGAGGAGCGAAAGCAUGGGGAGCGAACAGGAUUAGAUACCCUGGUAGUCCAUGCCGUAAACGUUGGGCACUAGGUGUGGGGGACAUUCCACGUUUUCCGCGCCGUAGCUAACGCAUUAAGUGCCCCGCCUGGGGAGUACGGCCGCAAGGCUAAAACUUCAAAGGAAUUGACGGGGGCCCGCACAAGCGGCGGAGCAUGCGGAUUAAUUCGAUGCAACGCGAAGAACCUUACCAAGGCUUGACAUGAACCGGAAAUACCUGGAAACAGGUGCCCCGCUUGCGGUCGGUUUACAGGUGGUGCAUGGUUGUCGUCAGCUCGUGUCGUGAGAUGUUGGGUUAAGUCCCGCAACGAGCGCAACCCUCGUUCUAUGUUGCCAGCGCGUUAUGGCGGGGACUCAUAGGAGACUGCCGGGGUCAACUCGGAGGAAGGUGGGGACGACGUCAAAUCAUCAUGCCCCUUAUGUCUUGGGCUUCACGCAUGCUACAAUGGCCGGUACAAAGGGUUGCGAUACUGUGAGGUGGAGCUAAUCCCAAAAAGCCGGUCUCAGUUCGGAU